rnacentral:rRNA from 1 species
AUACGGAGGGUGCAAGCGUUACUCGGGAUCACUGGGCGUAAAGCGCGCGCAGGCGGCUUGAUAAGUUGGAUGUGAAAGCCUACGGCUCAACCGUAGAACUGCAUCCAAAACUGUCAGGCUAGAGUGUGGGAGAGGAAGAUGGAAUUAGUUGUGUAGGGGUAAAAUCCGUAGAGAUAACUAGGAAUACCAAAAGCGAAGGCAAUCUUCUGGAACACUACUGACGCUGAGGCGCGAAGGCGUGGGGAGCAAACAGGAUUAGAUACCCCAGUAGUCC